UACGUAGGGGGCAAGCGUUGUCCGGAAUCAUUGGGCGUAAAGCGCGUGUAGGCGGCUCGAUAAGUCUGCUGUGAAAGUUCAGGGCUCAACCCUGAAAUGCCGGUGGAAACUGUCGAGCUAGAGUACGGAAGAGGUGAGUGGAAUUCCUGGUGUAGCGGUGAAAUGCGCAGAUAUCAGGAGGAACACCAAUGGCGAAGGCAGCUCACUGGGACGUUACUGACGCUGAGACGCGAAAGCGUGGGGGAGCAAACAGG
rnacentral:rRNA from 1 species